rnacentral:rRNA from 1 species
AGAACGAACGCUGGCGGCAUGCCUAACACAUGCAAGUCGAACGCUUGCCGAGGCUUCGGUUUCGGCAGGAGUGGCGCACGGGUGAGUAGCGCGUGGGAACCUGCCUUGGAGUGGGGGACAACCGAGGGAAACUUCGGCUGAUACCGCAUACGCCGGUUGUCUUGCAAGAGACGGCCGGGAAAGAUUUAUCGCUCCGAGAGGGGCCCGCGUCGGAUUAGGUAGUUGGCGGGGUAACGGCCCACCAAGCCUGUGAUCCGUAGCUGGUCUGAGAGGAUGAUCAGCCACACUGGGACUGAGACACGGCCCAGACUCCUACGGGAGGCAGCAGUGGGGGAAUAUUGGACAAUGGGCGCAAGCCUGAUCCAGCAAUGCCGCGUGAGUGAUGAAGGCCUUCGGGUUGUAAAGCUCUUUCGCCCGCGACGAUGAUGACGGUAGCGGGAGAAGAGCCCGGCUAACUUCGCGCCAGCAGCCGCGGU